AGCAGUGAGCACGAGGGGGACUCGAAGCUCUCGGACGCUCACGAACUCCCCUCACCUUUCGCCUCACCCGGCCAGCCACUUCCACCGUCCGGCGAACGGCAAUGGUGAUGGGCGAUGGUGAUGAUAAAGGGAAAAUACUCUCAGACAUAAAAUAUUUUGAAGAGGCUGGACAUGAGAAGACACCCAAUCGAGAGGGAGUUUUUUUUUGUCACGGUGGGCUCUGGCUACCCAAUUGGCGGCUCGGUUUCCUUCCUUGAGGCAAUGAGUCAGGCUGAAUUGGGCCGUCGACCCGCUGUUGACCCUUGCGGCCGAAGGGUCAACGUGGGACCCGCUUUCACCGUUAAUCGCGCAC